AUUGAACGCUGGCGGCAGGCUUAACACAUGCAAGUCGAGGGGUAUAGUUCUUCGGAGCUAGAGACCGGCGCACGGGUGCGUAACGCGUAUGCAAUCUACCUUUUGCAGAGGGAUAGCCCAGAGAAAUUUGGAUUAAUACCUCAUGGUAUGUGAGAAUGGCAUCAUUUUCACAUUAAAGUCACAACGGCAAAAGAUGAGCAUGCGUCCCAUUAGCUAGUUGGUAAGGUAACGGCUUACCAAGGCAACGAUGGGUAGGGGUCCUGAGAGGGAGAUCCCCCACACUGGGACUGAGACACGGCCCAGACUCCUACGGGAGGCAGCAGUGAGGAAUAUUGGACAAUGGGCGCAAGCCUGAUCCAGCCAUGCCGCGUGCAGGAUGACGGUCCUAUGGAUUGUAAACUGCUUUUGUACAGGAAGAAACACUGGUUCGUGAACCAGCUUGACGGUACUGUAAGAAUAAGGAUCGGCUAACUCCGUGCCAGCCGCCGCCGUAAAAC
rnacentral:rRNA from 1 species